rnacentral:ncRNA from 2 species
CCGGACACAGAUCGCGCCGGUGUCCCGAAAGGGGCUUAAUAGGGAACGCGGUGAAGGUGGCGGACGCUGCCUGAAUCCGGGGCUGUCCCUGCAACUGUAAGCGGUGAGCGCGAUGUACAUGCGCGGCGGGCACAGCGCCCAUGCCGCCAGCCACUGGGCCGGACGCUAAAUCCUGCGAGGCCUGGGAAGGCCGUGCAUCGACGUGAUGACCCGUGAGCCAGGAGACCUGCCGGCGUCUGGUCGCUCUU